GCGGGGGUACCCGAGCCAGGUCUAAAUAGAAUGGGUCAGAUCGACCCCUAAGAUAAGGGGGAGGACUUAAGAUCCUCUGGCGUAGGCCUUCGUGGGUUCGAAUCCCACCCCCCGCACCA
rnacentral:tRNA from 1 species